CAAUCCCUGAGUAGAGUGGCGAACGGGUGAGUAACACGUGGGUGACCUGCCCUCGAGUGGGGGAUAACGUCCCGAAAGGGGCGCUAAUACCGCAUGACAUCCUGUCUUUGAACAGAUGGACAUUAAAGCCGGGGAUCGCAAGACCUGGCGCUCGAGGAGGGGCCCGCGUCCGAUUAGCUAGUUGGUGGGGUAAUGGCCUACCAAGGCGACGAUCGGUAGCCGGCCUGAGAGGGCGGACGGCCACACUGGGACUGAGACACGGCCCAGACCCCUACGGGAGGCAGCAGUGGGGAAUUGUUCGCAAUGGGCGCAAGCCUGACGACGCAACGCCGCGUGGAGGAUGAAGGCCUUCGGGUCGUAAACUCCUUUCGAUCGGGACGAAUGGCUGGUGGCUGAAUACGCCAUCGGAAUGACGGUACCGAGAGAAGAAGCCCCGGCUAACUCCGUGCCAGCAGCCGCGGUAAUACGGGGGGGGCAAGCGUUGUUCGGAAUUACUGGGCGUAAAGGGCGCGUAGGCGGCCCGCUAAGUCAGACGUGAAAUCCCUCGGCUCAACCGGGGAACUGCGUCUGAUACUGGCAGGCUUGAAUCCGGGAGAGGGAUGUGGAAUUCCAGGUGUAGCGGUGAAAUGCGUAGAUAUCUGGAGGAACACCGGUGGCGAAGGCGGCAUCCUGGACCGGUAUUGACGCUGAGGCGCGAAAGCCAGGGGAGCAAACGGGAUUAGAUACCCCGGUAGUCCUGGCCCUAAACGAUGAGUGCUUUGGUGUGGCGGGGUAUCGAUCCCCUGCCGUGCCGAAGCUAACGCAUUA
rnacentral:rRNA from 1 species